AUGUUGUCUUCACCCCACACCUUCAAGCAGGGCCACCCCGGCCCGUGCAAAGGAGAGCUGCUGCUAAAUAGCUUCUUUUUUUAGGACUUCUAGAUAUUAAUGUACUUCUGAGGGUGAAAGGCAGCUGGCAUUAAAAGAUGACUGAUGCACUCCUCCGAGUCAGGGAAAGGACCACAGAAAUUUUGCAGCUGGCAUGUGCAGCGACCUGUAACACAGCCUGGAUCAGAGAUCCGGCCAGCAAAGGUCCCCCAGCAGAUCCCUGACCUCAGCUCACAUAGGGGCAAAGAAACCCCCAGAACGUCAGGAGGCAAUCACAAAGGGAAGCUCCGCAACCUGGGGACUCAUUUCUCUAAUCUAAGCAAUA